ACGGAUGAAGGGGAUUACAAUAUAAAAUUGCGUAAUCUAAUUAACUUCCUAAAUGAAGGGGAUAAGGUUAAGGUAACCCUGCGGUUCAGAGGCCGUGAAAUGGCGCAUCAGGAAUUUGGUAUUCGCCUGUUAGAGCGAGUCAAAGAUGAUCUUCAGUUAUAUGCGAAUGUGGAGCAAUUUCCUAGGCUAGAAGGCAGGCAAAUGGUGAUGGUGUUGUCACCUAAAAAGAAAGAACCCCAAAAAACUAAAUCAAAAGAGUCAGCGCAAGAAGAUAAAAUAAAUACCUCCUCAAUUACUUCGUAGAUGUAAUCGCUACUCUAU
rnacentral:misc_RNA from 1 species